UCAUAGAUUAAGCCAUGCAAGUGUAAGUUCAGGUAACUAAACUGCGAAUAGCUCAUUAACACACUCAUAAUCUACUUGGAAACAAUUUUUUAAAAAUUUUAAAUGGAUAGCAGGAGUAAUUCUCGUGCUAAUACAUGAAAUUUUAAUAAUCUCAAAUUAAAUCAGAUUAUUUUUAAUACCUUUUAAUAGGUAAUCCAAUCGAAUGAGUGACCUAUCAGGCCAGUACUUAGGGUCUUUACCUAAGUAAGCUAUCACGGGUAACGGGCGGUUACCGUCGUACUGCCGGAGAAGGCGCCUGAGAGAUAGCGACUAUAUCCACGGGUAGC
rnacentral:rRNA from 1 species